AAGGCCACUUCGGUGGUACUCGAGCGGCGAACGGGUGAGUAACAUGUUGGAAUCUACCUUCAAGUGAGGGAUAACUCCGAGAAAUCGGAGCUAAUACCGCAUAUGCCCUAAGGGGUAAAGCUUUUUGCGCUUGGAGAGGAGCCUGCAUACUAUCAGCUUGUUGGCGGGGUAAUGGCCCACCAAGGCUACGACGGUUAACUGGUCUGAGAGGACGACCAGUCACAAGGGAACUGAGACACGGUCCCUACUCC
rnacentral:rRNA from 1 species